rnacentral:lncRNA from 1 species
UUCCUCAUGAUCUUCUUCCCACCUCUUCCUUACAGAUAACACCCUUCCUUCCUUUUCGGGCUUCUUUGAAUUUUGGUAUCCGAUCUUAAUGGGAAAUCACUGUGUUCUGGAUCUCGUUGGUUGAUCUGUAAUGUAGCAGUAAGCAGCUGUAAUUAUUUAAUUAGCCGUCGUCGGUGAAGAGGUCAAGUUUCAGUUCAGAUGGUGAGGUAUUGAAUUCUAGUAGCACUCAACUUUUAUUUGCCUUUCCAUAUCGAUAACAUAUAUAUUCGGCAGCUUCAAUCUGGCCUACCUAAGUCUUA